rnacentral:rRNA from 1 species
ACGCUCGACACCUACGGGAGGCAGCAGUGGGGAAUAUUGCACAAUGGGGGAAACCCUGAUGCAGCGACGCCGCGUGAGCGAAGAAGUAUUUCGGUAUGUAAAGCUCUAUCAGCAGGGAAGAAAAUGACGGUACCUGACUAAGAAGCCCCGGCUAACUACGUGCUAGCAGCCGCGGUAAUCUGAGCGGGCUGGCAAGGC